AUGCGGUCACCGGUAUUCAAGGCGGAGCUUUAUGGGCCGAUGAGCGACAAAAGAACAGGGAGGAUAACCGUCAAGGAUAUGCAGCCUGGUGUCUUCAAGGCGUUGCUUAAGUUUAUCUACACUGAUUCAUUGCCUUCCAUGCUUGACCUCUGCGACAGUGACCAGAAAGAAAUGGUCAAGCAUUUGCUUGUGGCUGCAGAUAAGUAUGCCAUGGAAAGACUGAAGCUAAUCUGCGAAGGCAUUCUUUGCAGGAGUCCCGACGUUGAUUCUGUGGCGAUGACAUUAGUUCUGGCUGACCAGCAUCAUUGCAGCAACCUUAAAGAUGCUUGCGUUCAAUUUAUGCUCACGGCUAAUAGAAUGGAUGUUGUGCUGGCAAGCAAAGGCUACACACACCUUAAAAGGUCUUGUCCUCCUGUCAUAGUUGAUAUCUUUGAGAGGGCAACUAAGUCUCGCAAGAUU
rnacentral:rRNA from 1 species